rnacentral:rRNA from 1 species
CCUACGGGAGGCAGCAGUGAGGAAUAUUGGUCAAUGGGCUUACGCCUGAACCAGCCAAGUCGCGUGAGGGAAGACGGUCUUCGGAUUGUAAACCUCUGUCUUUGGGGAAGAAAAUGACGGUACCCAAAGAGGAAGCUCCGGCUAACUACGUGCCAGCAGCCGCGGUAAUACGUAGGGAGCGAGCGUUGUCCGGAAUUACUGGGUGUAAAGGGAGCGUAGGCGGGCGAGAAAGUUGAAUGUUAAAUCUACCGGCUUAACUGGUAGCUGCGUUCAAAACUUCUUGUCUUGAGUGAAGUAGAGGCAGGCGGAAUUCCUAGUGUAGCGGUGAAAUGCGUAGAUAUUAGGAGGAACACCAGUGGCGAAGGCGGCUUACUGGACUGUAACUGACGUUGAGGCUCGAAGGCGUGGGGAGCAAACAGGAUUAGAUACCCUUGUAGUC